ACCAGGCACUGUCCUAGGCACAGAGAAUAAUGGAAGUAAAGGCCUUUAUGGAGCUUGCAUUCUAGUGGGAGAGAAGAGACAACAAAGAAAUAAAAAUUUCAGAAAGUGGGAAGCACAGAUGUCUUCAAGGAGGGACCAGUGAGGAAGCUCUUUGUGGUCGCUUGGACUAGGAUGGCAGCAGAGAAGGCGUAGAAGGGGUGUAUCAGUAUGUAUUCAGAUACACUUUGAAUUGGAAUGGAUUUGGCAGAGAAUGUGAACGAACAAAAGCUCAUCGCUGAUUUUUAAGUUCAGGACCUAAAGGCCGCCACUUUUGUAUCCAAAGCGCUGCUGCCCCCAGCUGCACUGCUUGAACAAAUUGCACCGUGAGCAAGCAAAAGCUGCACCCAGGAGACUGCUGACGUGACCUCAGAAACGCACAGUCCAGUCCUAUUGCCCAAUGCUUUUGCCCAAGAGCUUCUAUCAUAGCGUUUGGAUUUCUGGCCAUCUUGGUGACCAUAUUGGACCUUCCUUCUCCCUGCUCCCAUCAAGUUUUAAACAGAAACAUCUCUAACAACUCAUCAGUGACCAAUCAGUGAAAUGGUUCUAAGCUCUUGGGAGGCUCAGGCUCCUGCUGUUUCUCCUCCUUACCACAUUUUAUAACAAUUAAAAAAUUAGUCCAGCCACAAUCCAUUACCUGGUUGUACUCUAAGACAAGGAUUUGCCUUCCAAGGGCAAUUCCAAGACAGAAAUGAUUGGAAAAUUAUGUAUGAUUAACUCUCCCAGGAAUCAAAUGACCUCAGUAAAUAUUUUUUUGAGACCAUUAGGUCCCAGGGAUGCAAAGACAUUAUCCCUGUCUUCUGUCCAGAGCUUUGGUUUUCUUCUCAAUAAACAAACCUAAGUUUUUGUUUGUGUUUUGUU
ensembl:lncRNA